UAUAGCCGAGAGGCGAAGCCGAUGGAAAGCUGGUUAAUACUCCAGCACCUAUUAUUACUGCGAUGGGGUGACGGAGAAGCGUAAAGUCCGCCAACUUACGGAAUAGUUGGUUAAAGUGCGUAGGUGUUGAUUCAGUAGGCAAAUCCGCUGAUGAACUGAAACAUGAUAGUACUCAGAUCCUUUCGGGGUGAAGAGAUAGUGGCUCCAAGCAUACUUCCAAGAAAAACCUCUAAGCUUCAGGUAAUAACAGCCCGUACCGUAAACCGACACAGGUAGUCGAGGAGAAUAUCCUAAGGCGCUCGAGUGAGUCAUGGCUAAGGAACUAGGCAAAUUAGUCUCGUAACUUCGGGAAAAGAGACCCCCACUUCGGUGGGGCGCAGAGAAAUGGCCCAGGCGACUGUUUAGCAAAAACACAGGACUCUGCAAAAUCGAAAGAUGACGUAUAGGGUCUGACACCUGCCCGGUGCCGGAAGGUUAAGGAAGGGGGUUAGCGCAAGCGAAGCUCUUGACUGAAGCCCCGGUAAACGGCGGCCGUAACCAUAACGGUCCUAAGGUAGCGAAAUUCCUUGUCGGGUAAGUUCCGGCCUGCACGAAUGGUGUAACGAUCUGGCACUGUCUCAGCCAUGAGCUCGGUGAAAUUGAAGUAUCGGUGAAGAUACCGGUUACCCGCCACGGGACGAAAAGACCCCGUGCACCUUACUAUAGCUUCACAUUGUGCUUGAAUAUAAGAUGUGUAGGAUAGGUGGGAGACUUUGAAGCGGCCACGCUAGUGGUUGUGGAGUCAACGUUGAAAUACCACCCUUCUUCUAUUUAGGUUCUAACCCCGUACCCACGGGGGACAGUGUGUGGUGGGUAGUUUGACUGGGGUGGUCGCCUCCUAAAGAGUAACGGAGGCUUGCAAAGGUGCCCUCAGCAUGGACGGUAAUCAUGCGAAGAGCGUAUUAGUAUAAGGGCGCUUGACUGAGAGAGCGACGGCUCGACCAGGUACGAAAGUAGGCUAAAGUGAUCCGGUGGUUCCGCAUGGAAGGGCCAUCGCUCAAAGGAUAAAAGGUACGCCGGGGAUAACAGGCUGAUCUCCCCCAAGAGCUCAUAUCGACGGGGAGGUUUGGCACCUCGAUGUCGGUUCGUCACAUCCUGGGGCUGAAGAAGGUCCCAAGGGUUCGGCUGUUCGCCGAUUAAAGUGGCACGUGAACUGGGUUCAGAACGUCGCAAGACAGUUCGGUCUCUAUCUGUGGUGGGCGUUGUAAUAUUGAAGGGAACUGACUCUAGUACGAGAGGACCGAGUUGGACGUACCUCUAGUGUAUCUGUUGUGCCGCCAGGUGCAGCGCAGAGUAGCUAUGUACGGACUAGAUAAGCGCUGAAAGCAUCUAAGCGCGAAGCUAUCCUUAAGAUGAGUAUUACUGGGGUCGUAGAAGACGACUACGUUGAUGGGCUAUAGGUGUAAGCGUAGUAAUACGUUCAGCUGAGUAGUACUAAUUACCCCUUAGCUUC
rnacentral:rRNA from 1 species